ensembl:lncRNA
GCCAUGGUGACUCAGACAUCCGCCAAACCCAGGAGCUCCCCUUUUCUCCAGCGUUCUUCUUGUCCAGCAGGGAGGCGUGUGGACUGCUUCUGGGCCUCCACUGCCAGGCCUGAUCGCAGCCCAUGACCUUCGCGGAGGGGUGGGGGCGGGGGGGGAGCAACCAAGGGCCAGGGAUGUUGCCCAGCAAGACCGCGGCCUCACUGCGCCACCGGAGGAACAGCCACCGACGAGGCCCGGCGGACCCAGGCGCCGCCACCCACCCAUGCCCGCGGCGGGCCUGCGGGAGCGCAGGGGCCGAGGCCGUGAAGCCGGGCAGCCAGCCUUGCACCAUUGACAGCCGGGGCACGUCUGCGGAGCCCGGGGGAACAAUCAACGGACUCUAUGUCCCGGGAGCUGGGGACACGCCUGUAAGGCCUUUCUGCCUGCUCAUAGCCACUGGGAGAAAAAUCAAGCGUCUUCCUCUUUGAUAAAUAGAGGAAAGCCGGUGGGAUCAGUGUGCAAUGUUCCAGCCGACUAAAUGGGCUUGCCUUCUGCCGAGAGGCAGUCCUGGAGGACACAACUAAUGUGCAAUCUCCCAGGCAGCUCUUCAUCAGAACAUCCCUUGUCCUUUUGUUUUUGUUUUCGUAUUAAAAGAUGUUUUUGCUUUCCUCUCAGUGUCCGUCCUGUUAUUUUGUAGCUACAACAAUGAAACAGGAACAGUUUAUCAUUCUUUUUUGUCCUUUGUAACCAUGCCUUGUAUUGGGAUGUCACAAAGCCCCAGAUACACCUCAGCGUGCCCUGUGCUUUUGAUGUUUACUUGCUACUCCCCGGGUCACCCAGAGACCCACACUUGAUUCUGCCUUCUGCCCCUCCCAGAUGGUUCUCUCCUGGACAAGGUCCCUCUCCCAGCUUGCAGGGAAAGGGGAUUCACUAAUUUGCUUCUCAAAUUAGAAAAGACCAAACCCAGGUUCUCCAGGUAAGUGAUUCUGGCUUAUACUGGUGACUAAGAUGUUGUAUGGGAGCAUCUCCCCAGGAUCACGUCUCUCAAGGAGAGAGAACGGCAGGCACGUUUCCACAGACAUUUCUAAAACUAUGGCAACUAAGUGAGUUUUACGGAUAAAAUUCUGGUGUAUUCCCAGGCAGCUCAAGUUAUUUAAAUUUUAGUUUUGUUCACAUGUAUGGGCGCACACAGGCCAACUAGGAUUAUGUUACCAGCGCAUUGCCACUGGACAAGUCUGGUGACAGCAACUCAGAUCAACAAACUUAUUUUCUGGAGAGUGACAAAGAAAAAAAAAGGCUCCCCAUACCUUUAAAAUUGUUAUUUUAUACUGUUUAACACCCCCCACAGCCAGGAAUUGGCCAGACUUCCCUGCUUCCUUUUCUAGGAACAGGUAACUAACCACUCUCCCCUCCUCCAAGACUUGGCUAUUUUUAAAAGCUAAAAUUUCUCUUUCCAAAGGGAGGAAAAGGAACGAAUUCCAUUAAUGAAUUACGUACACGGAAUGUGACUUGUCUGGGACAAUUGUAUUUGUAAAUAAAUGGCUUCCUGUUGAUUAUGUACCUUUUACUGAAAAAUGAACUCUAAUGUCUCUGAGCACUUAACAGAGCACAUAUUUCAACUUAUGGUUUACUUUCCACUUGUUCUUUUUUUUUAACUCACUAGAAAGAAAUCGGGUAAAAACUGAGUCAGUCGAGGUGUGGGGGUCGUUAUCCUUCAGCGUCCAUACUGACCUGGGGAAGAGCCACCUCUAAAGUUCUCACGUUUGUCAAAGUGUAAGCAAAGGGGGGUGGCUCCCUGGGAAUGUUAUUGGAACCAAUCUGGAGAGUUUCACUUUUGCCCCUGGGUCUUUGUAAAGAGGACCGCGGCCUCCUUUUGCAGCUUCCAAAGCGAAGCCGGCGCGGAAUCGUCUCGGCGG